rnacentral:rRNA from 1 species
GACGAACGCUGGCGGCGUGCCUAACACAUGCAAGUCAAGGACUGUAGCAAUACAGGACUGGCGCACGGGUGCGGAACACGUAGGUAAUCUGCCCUUUAGGGGAGAACAACCAGCCGAAAGGUUGGCUAAAUCUCCGUAACAUCACGAUGUGGCAUCACAUUGUAAUCAAGUUUUCUAAAGGAUGAGCCUGCGUCUGAUUAGCUAGUUGGUAGUGUAAGGACUACCAAGGCUUCGAUCAGUAGCUGGUCUGAGAGGAUGAUCAGCCACAUUGGGACUGAGACACGGCCCAGACUCCUACGGGAGGCAGCAGUGAGGAAUAUUGGACAAUGGGCGCAAGCCUGAUCCAGCAAUGCCGCGUGAGUGAUGAAGGCCUUAGGGUUGUAAAGCUCUUUCGGCGGGACGAUGAUGACGGUACCCGCAGAAGAAGCCCCGGCUAACUUCGUGCCAGCAGCCGCCGCGGUAAU